rnacentral:rRNA from 1 species
UGGGGAAUAUUGCGCAAUGGGGGCAACCCUGACGCAGCCAUGCCGCGUGUGUGAAGAAGGCCUUCGGGUUGUAAAGCACUUUCACUUGGGAAGAAAAGCUCGUCGUUAAUACCGGCGAGCCGUGACAUUACCUUGAGAAGAAGCACCGGCUAACUCCGUGCCAGCAGCCGCGGUAAUACGGAGGGUGCGAGCGUUAAUCGGAAUUACUGGGCGUAAAGCGCGCGUAGGUGGUUUGUUAAGUCGGAUGUGAAAGCCCCGGGCUCAACCUGGGAACUGCACCCGAUACUGGCCGACUGGAGUGCGAGAGAGGGAGGUAGAAUUCCACGUGUAGCGGUGAAAUGCGUAGAUAUGUGGAGGAAUACCGGUGGCGAAGGCGGCCUCCUGGCUCGACACUGACGCUGAGGUGCGAAAGCGUGGGGAGCAAACAGGAUUAGAUACCCCCGUAGUCC